rnacentral:rRNA from 1 species
GACGUAGGGCGCAAGCGUUGUCCGGAUUUAUUGGGCGUAAAGAGCUCGUAGGCGGCUUGUUGCGUCGACUGUGAAAACCCGCAGCUUAACUGCGGGCCUGCAGUUGAUACGGGCAGGCUAGAGUUCGGUAGGGGGAGACUGGAAUUCCUGGUGUAGCGGUGAAAUGCGUAGAUAUCGAGAGGAACACCUGCGGCGAAGGCGGGUUGCUGGGCUGACACUGACGCUGAGGCGCGAAAGCUAGGGGAGCGAACGGG